GAUGAACGCUGGCGGCGUGCCUAAUACAUGCAAGUCGAGCGAACGGACGAGAAGCUUGCUUCUCUGAUGUUAGCGGCGGACGGGUGAGUAACACGUGGAUAACUUACCUAUACGACUGGGAUAACUUCGGGAAACCGGAGCUAAUACCGGAUAAUAUUUUGAACCGCAUGGUUCAAAAGUGAAAGACGGUCUUGCUGUCACUUAUAGAUGGAUCCGCGCUGCAUUAGCUAGUUGGUAAGGUAACGGCUUACCAAGGCAACGAUGCAUAGCCGACCUGAGAGGGUGAUCGGCCACACUGGAACUGAGACACGGUCCAGACUCCUACGGGAGGCAGCAGUAGGGAAUCUUCCGCAAUGGGCGAAAGCCUGACGGAGCAACGCCGCGUGAGUGAUGAAGGUCUUCGGAUCGUAAAACUCUGUUAUUAGGGAAGAACAUAUGUGUAAGUAACUGUGCACAUCUUGACGGUACCUAAUCAGAAAGCCACGGCUAACUACGUG
rnacentral:rRNA from 1 species